CACAGAGAAAGAUGCAGGGUUUGGGAUAAAUAAAGGAAAGUGUUUAAUGAAAUAAUUCAAAACAACUUGGGUAUAUUUAUUAGCUGUACUUGCGAUACGAUCAACAUGUUUGUUUUGCUAUCUGGAAUCGAUGACACCAGGCAGGAUAUAACAAGGUUUCCACAGUUUACGUUGUUCUGAGUUUAGAAUUCAAGAAGACCAGUUCGACUAAACAGACACAGACUAAAGGUGAGAUUAAGUUAAAUUCUGAAUAAGAACUUUAAGCAGUGUUCCUGAAUUAGGAAUCAAGUGUUUAAUUAAUUAUAGCUGCUGUUCAUGGAGAAGCAUUGGUUGUAUACAAGAUGUACCAUUUCUAGACGGUGAAGCAUUGGAUACAUGCAAAGUAGUGGCUCAGACCAAAAAGUUCUACAUGCACAGGACCACAAGUAGAUAUUAAGCAGUUACCACAAGUAAAGCACUGGCUCAGACCAAGUAAAUAUUAAGCAGUGGUUACAAAUAUCGCACAGG
rnacentral:lncRNA from 1 species